GAUGAACGCUGGCGGCGUGCCUAAUACAUGCAAGUCGAACGCAUUGUGGUUGAAAUGAUAUGAAGAACUUGUUCAGAUUUGAUUUUCAACAUUGCAAUGAGUGGCGAACGGGUGAGUAACACGUGGGAAACCUACCUCUUAGCAGGGGAUAACAUUUGGAAACAAAUGCUAAUACCGUAUAAUAAUUAAAACCGCAUGGUUUUAGUUUAAAAGAUGGUCUUGCUAUCACUAAGAGAUGGUCCCGCGGUGUAUUAGUUAGUUGGUGAGGUAAUGGCUCACCAAGACAAUGAUACAUAGCCGAGUUGAGAGACUGACCGGCCACAAUGGGACUGAGACACGGCCCAUACUCCUACGGGAGGCAGCAGUAGGGAAUCUUCCACAAUGGACGAAAGUCUGAUGGAGCAACGCCGCGUGUGUGAUGAAGGUUUCGGCUCGUAAAACACUGUUGUAAGAGAAGAAUGACAUUGAGAGUAACUGUUCAAU
rnacentral:rRNA from 1 species